rnacentral:rRNA from 1 species
GAUGAACGCUAGCUACAGGCUUAACACAUGCAAGUCGAGGGGAAACGCCAUCGAAAGCUUGCUUUUGAUGGGCGUCGACCGGCGCACGGGUGAGUAACGCGUAUCCAACCUGCCCAUCACUUGUGAAUAACCUUGCGAAAGUAAGACUAAUACCCAAUGAUAUCCCACGAAGGCAUCGGAAUGGGAUUAAAGAUUUAUCGGUGAUGGAUGGGGAUGCGUCUGAUUAGCUUGUUGGCGGGGUAACGGCCCACCAAGGCAACGAUCAGUAGGGGUUCUGAGAGGAAGGUCCCCCACAGUGGAACUGAGACACGGUCCAAACUCAUACGGGAGGCAGCAGUGAGGAAUAUUGGUCAAUGGGCGAGAGCCUGAACCAGCCAAGUAGCGUGCAGGAAGACGGCCCUAUGGGUUGUAAACUGCUUUUAUAAGAGAAUAAAGUGGGUCACGUGUGACUUUUUGCAUGUACCUUAUGAAUAAGGACCGGCUAAUUCCGUG